rnacentral:lncRNA from 1 species
CACAUGAUUGGGAUAUUGAUGAUUUUCAAAACCAGGCACUACAAGAAAAUACAUAUUCAGCGACUAAGAUUCGAGUCGCCGAAUAACCAUAUUUGGUCGCCGAAAUCUUUUCGCGACUAGAAUACGCUUCGUCGCCGAACCCUAGUCACUGAAAGGUUUUGGCGACCAAUAUUGUGUGGUCACCUAAGGUACACCAACAACGACCAACGUUUGGUUGCCGAAGCAACUUUUCAGCGACCAAAUUUGUUGUCGCUAAUUCCCACGCCGACCAAAUAGUUGGUCGUGGAAUGUUUGUCUUCCGCUACCAAAAAUAUGGUCACUGAAUGUCUAUCUUCCCCCACCAAUAGUUUGGUCGUAGAAUGUAUUGGAAUGCAUUGGCAACAAACAUUUUUUGGUGGCAGAAAGUAUUAACCUGUAUUUAAUUAAUAAUUCAAAUUAUAAGCUUAAUAUUUAUUUUUGGGCUCGUUCCAAAUCCUGUACAACCAACACAGCCUAUCCAUCAUCCAUAUUGCACAAUACAUUUGCUCAUCGAAAUAGAAGUAUACACAAUGUUGGAGAAUCCAUAAUCAUUUAUUAUAAAUAUCAUCAUCUAUAAGUCUAAAGUCAAGCAAACCUAUUAACCAUUCAUCAAAAUGUUUCAUCCAUACCAUAUGUUAAGGUGAUAAUCAUCACCAAACACAUCAAAAUGUAAAUUAAAAAUGCCAAAAUAUCUGAUCUUACAAGUCAUCCAAACAACCAUCAUGUAGAUAAAAAUAUGAAUAAACAAAAAAUU